UACGAAGGGUGCUAGCGUUGUUCGGAAUCACUGGGCGUAAAGCGUACGUAGGCGGUUUAGUAAGUCGGUUGUGAAAGCCCCAAGCUUAACUUGGGAAUUGCGACCGAAACUGCUUUGCUAGAGUUUGGUGGGGGAUGGUGGAAUUCCUAGUGUAGGGGUGAAAUCCGUAGAUAUUAGGAAGAAUAUCGGUGGCGAAGGCGACCAUCUACGCCAAUACUGACGCUAAGGUACGAAAGCGUGGGGAGCAAACAGG
rnacentral:rRNA from 1 species